rnacentral:lncRNA from 1 species
AUAGUCAGGAUCAGUUAUCUGCCACAUUGUAACUCCCUUGCCUGUUGCUUCAGAGGAGCCCACAGUGGCCAGGUAGCAGUCUUAACUUCCAAUUGAAUGGAAUCAUUGUUGUGUCUCUUGGUGGAAUCAUUUCUCCUUCUGGAACUAAGACCUCUAGGUCACCAGACCUUUAGGUUACAGGAAUAAGAAGCAAAUUUUUUCUAGUGGGCCCCUGAGGGUAAUUGUGAGUGGUGCUCUUCCUGUUUCUACCCCAUGAUUCCUGGAUCCAUCAAUCCUGGCUAUGGGAGAAACAGCAAUGUUGGGAGAUGGAGAUAGUGAAUAAUAUCCUCAGAACUGAGAAGGAACUGUAAGACCAAAAGACAAAGCAGGUAACUUCAUAAAGUGCAUUUGUGGUGUUUAUUGUGGAUAACUUACAUAUAGGCCAGAUCAAGUGGAUGUUGAUCCAGAGGCAUUAGCAACUAUACUCUGCACUGCCAAAAGGGGUACAGGGAGAUUUAAAGGGGCCAAAGCUAAACAUAGAAUCUGACUACCAAGAGAUAAUCAUGUCCACAGUUUCAAAUGGAAUAUUCUUCCUCUUCACUGGAGGUCUCAUGACCAUUAACCAUCUGCAUCAGCAAAAGUCAUUCUUCUACUUUUCCUGUCAAAUGAAGGCAGGGUAGACAUUGAUAGGGAACUUAUCUGGCUUGGGCACUUUCCUUGUGAGUAAGCUAAAGCUCAGUCAUUAAAGGGGAAAGGGUAAGACUGCAGGCUUUCCUGCAGCUAAUAAAAUGGAGUCAGUAUAGUUCAGCCACACAAGCACCAUAUAUUGGAUGCUGAUUCACAGCAUAUAUAGCCUUCUGUAGAGCCUUUCCCAAGCCCUGCAAAAUAUUGUCACUGAGCUGGUGCUGUAACUGAGUCUUCAGAAGGCCAUUCCACUGUUCUGUCAAGCUAGCUAUUUCAAAAUGGCAGGGAACAUGGUAAGACUAGUGAAUUACCUGAACAUGUAUCCAUUGUUUUACUUCUUUUGCUAUGAAAUGAGUUCUUUGAUCAGAAGGAAUGCUGAAUAAUGUGACAGUGAAUAAGGCAUUUUAUAUGUCUUCAGAUGAUAGUGCUGGCAGAGACAUUGCAUACAGGAAGGCGAAUCCACAUCCAGAGUAAGUGUUUAUUCCAGUAAGAACAAAACAGUGUCCCUUGAUGACAGCAGUUCAAUAUAAUCAGCUUGCUACCAUGUUACUGGCUGAGGACCCUGGUGAAUAAUGCCAUAUUGGGCACUUAGGGUUGUUGGGCACACUGUGUUGCUACUGCUAGCACAGUGGGUACCCAGCAGUUGCCUUAGCCAACUUGAUGAGUGGAAGUCUAUGUUCCUGAGCUCAUGCAUAACCUCCAUCCUUCCUACCAUGGCUACUUUGUUCAUGAACCCAUUGGACAGAGACUUAGUGGCUGGGCAAAGCACCUAACUGGUAUCCACAGAAUUGGUCACUUUAUCCGCUUGAUUGUUAAAUUCCUCCCCUGCCGAGAUCACCCUUUGGUGAACAUUCCCAUGGGAUGCAAAUGUAUUUACAUUCGUUUUUGCCCAUAUCUAUACUUCUAUCCCAACUUUGCUUUAUCACCAAUUUUCCAAACAUGUUCCUUACAAAUUCUUGACCAUUAAGCCAAAUUGCUGGCCAUAUCCAUGAAUUAGUGUAUAAUUGUAUGUAUGGCCCUUUUUCCUUCUCAGCAAAGUGAACAAUCAAUGUGCACAACUCCAAGUUCUGCCCACUGGGAAGGACCUCCUAUCACCACUGUCCAUCAAGGAUGUCCCAUAAAGGGAAGGGGAUGUAGUGCUGCAACUGUCUACUUCUGGGUGGCAGCCACAUAUUUUGCAGAUCUUUCUGUAAACUAGGUCUGAGAUUUCUCUUCCUCUGUCAACUGAUCAUAGGGAACUCCCCAUGAGGCCAUAGGUACAGGCUGGGAAGGAGAAAAUAGUAUAACAUGAGUGGGGAUAAUGGGCAUUUGAACAAUAUCUUGAUGAAACUUACUUGUACUUUGAGGGCUUCUUCAACCCCAAUUUCAUAUAUUUCACUUAUGUUUAAUGAUGGAGCAUGCUUUGUAUGAAACUUUAUGGUUUGGUGGGUCAGAUAACAUGCAGUUCAUGAUGGGCAAUUCAGGUUGCAAGAUAACUUGUCAGCCGAUGGUUAAAUAUUCAGUUUCUCCUAAGGCCAAGUAGUAGGCCAGGAGUUCUUUCUCAAAAGGGGAGUAGUGAUCUGUAUUAGACUGCAGGGCUUGGCUCAAAAAUCCUGAGGGCCUGCACUGCAGUUCACCUAUAGGGACUUGACAUAGACUCAAACAACUUCCCUGUGUACCACUAAGAUUUCAAGCACCAUUAGAUCUGCUGGAUCACAAGUCCCUAAUGGCAGUCCUGCUUGCACAGCAAGCUGGACAGGUUAGAAAGCCAGCUACUAUUCUGGGCCCCACUCAGAGUAAGUGGCUAUUUGAAACACUUGGUAAAUGAGGCAGAGUAUAUACCAAAAUGAGGAGUCUGUUGCCCUCACCAUUCAAAGAGGCCCAUCAGGUGAUGUGCCUCUUUUGGGUUGUAGGAAGGACUAGAUAAAAUACUUGUCCUUAACCUUAGAAAAUAUAAUCUUGACAUACUCCACACCACUAAUUUCACUUAAGUAGAAUGCCCCUGAAUUGUUGGAUUUGUUUCUCACCCUCUGACAUGCAAAUGUCUUACCAAUAAGUCUAGAGUAGUAGCUAUAUCUUACUCCCUAAGUCCAAUCUGCCUAAUAUCAUCAGUGUAAAGGACCAGUGUGAUAUUUUGUGGAUAUGAAGGUGAUCAAGAUCCCUGUGAACCAAAUUAUGACAUAAGGCUGGAGAGUGUAUAUUCCUCUGAGCUAGGAUAGUGAGGAUAUAUUGCUUGUCUUGUUAGCUGAAAGCAAAUUGUUUCUGGUGGUCCUUAUUAACAGAUACAGAAAAAAAAAUCAUUUGCUGGAUCAAUAGCUGCAUCCUAGGUACCAGGGGAUGUAUUAAUUUGCUCAAGCAAUGAAAUCACAUCUGCUUUAGCAGUGGAAAUUGGAACCAUCGCCUGAUUAAGUGUGUGAUAAUCCUCUUUCAUUCUCCAAGACCCAUCUGUCUUCUGCAUAAGCCAGAUAAGUGGGUUGAAUGGGGAUGUUGUGGGAACCACCAGCUCUGCAUCUUGAUGGUGUCACUAAUGUAUACCAUACCAUCCCUUUGGUGAUGUGGUAUUACUUUUGAUUUACUCUUUUCCUAGGUAGGAGUUCUAAUGGCUUCCACUUGACCUUUCCCACUAUUUUGAUUACUCUAGAGGUUGGGGAAUCAAUGUGGAGAUUCUGCCAGCUGCUGAAUAUGAUGUGUGUGUAUAGUCUAUUUAUGCAUUACAGAGCAGGAGAAAAAAUGAUAGGAUGGCUUCUGAGACCUGUGAUAUGGGCCUGAGCUAAAACUUCAUUGGUCACCUGACCUCUGUUAUCCUGUACUCUGACUGGUGGCCCAUAGUUUUGGGUCUUCUGGAAUUAGGUAUCUGUUCAAAGCCAGUUGGACAUCCAAAGGUAUGAUUAGUUUUUUUUUCCUAAUGCAAAGAUCAAAGGCUAUAGAUCCCUAUGGGGAAGGUUGGGAAAAAGAUUAAUAGUAUAAAUUGUCAGUAGUGUACCAGGAUCUUUCCUCAAGGUUGCUCGGCCUCUCCAUCAUUCAAGGAUACUGGGUUUGUGAACUACAUCAAGUCUGGGAAUUGAUUGAAGGUCCAUGACUACCUGUUUUCAUGAUUCAGGUUAGACUUUUGUUUUCAUGACCUAGAACUUUUCUGUUUACACAGAUCAAGUAAGAAUUUUCUAGGCUUCCUAUCUAUUUCAUUCUAGGAACAAAUGAUCAAGCACAUCAUAGGUCUGCAUGAGUAAGACAAUUCUUUUUUUUAAAUUUUUAUUUUGGAGUUCCCGUCGUGGCACAGUGGUUAACGAAUCCGACUAGGAACCAUGAGGUUGCGGGUUCGGUCCCUGCCCUUGCUCAGUGGGUUAACGAUCCGGCGUUGCCGUGAGCUGUGGUGUAGGUUGCAGACGCGGCUCGGAUCCCGCGUUGCUGUGGCUCUGGCGUAGGCCGGUGGCUACAGCUCCCAUUCGACCCCCAGCCUGGGAACCUCCAUAUGCCGCGGGAGCGGCCCAAAGAAAU